GAGGCAGGUGUGUUUUCCAGUGAUGGCCACCUGUAGAUAAAAAUGUCACACCAGUUUCUUACUGCAAUGCAAUUGGCCAUCAGCCCAGGGUGUAUAUAUUUCCUCCUCAUGAACAUGGGUUAAGCUUGUGACUGGUUCAUCCAGGAACAAAUGGUGGAAGGGAUACUGUGGGACUUAUUAGGCUAGGUCACCAAAAGACCCCAGUUUCUACCUGUACUUUCUCAAGGGGAUGCAUGUGUACAAGGAGCUGGGGCCCAGCCACGUGGAAAACAGCAUGGAGGCUAGGAUUGGAGCACCUCAGGACCCAGCUCGCUACUCCUUGGUGUCUGUCCUAAAGAACUAAAGCCAUUUUACAGUAGACACAUGCACACCCAUGUUUAUAGCAGCACAGCUCACGAUAGCAAACUAUGGUAGCAGGCAGGUGUCCAUCAGUGGAUGAAUGGAUAAAGAAAAUGCAUUAGAUAAACACUAUGGAGACUUAUUCAGUCACAAAGAAAAACAAAAUUAGGUCAUUUUCAGGAAAAUGAAUAGAACUUGGGGACAUUAUGUUAAACAAAAUAAGCCAACUCAGAAAGCCAAGUGGCAUGUUUUCUUUCAUAUUUAAAAUCUGGAGAGAAAAAAGGGGGUGUCUCAUGAAAAUAGAGUUGAGGAUCAGUAGAGGAAGGGUUCCAGGAGAGAGGUGGGGAAGGAAAGGGAAGAUACUAGGAAAUGAAAUUAACCAAACUAUAUUUGUGCAUAUAUGAAUAUAUAGCAAUGAAUGUUAUAUAGCAUGUAUAAUUAUAAUGCACUAAUAAAAAUUUAAAAAAG
rnacentral:lncRNA from 1 species